GGGGGGGUGUCGGCGGGGUCGCGCACUGCCCCGGACCCGGCCAUGGGCGGCCACUCGAUCCACUGGUUCCGCAAGGGGCUCCGGCUGCACGACAACCCGGCGCUGCGGGAGGCGGCCCGGGGCGCCCGCAGCCUCCGCUGCGUCUACAUCGUGGACCCGUGGUUCGCGGGCGCCUCCAGCCUGGGCAUCAACCGCUGGAGGUUCUUAUUACAGUCCCUUGUAGAUCUUGACACCAGUUUGCGGAAAUUAAACUCCCGCUUGUUUGUCAUACGUGGGCAACCAGCUGAUGUCUUUCCCAGAUUGUUCAAGGAAUGGAAUAUCUCUUGUCUUUCUUUUGAAUACGACUCUGAGCCUUUCAGCAAGGAGCGAGAUGCAGUUAUCCAGAAGCUGGCUGCUGAGGCAGGUGUGGAAGUGAUAGUCCGGAUUUCACAUACGUUGUAUGAUAUGGACAAGAUCAUAGAAAGAAACGGUGGACAGCCACCUCUGACGUAUAAGCAUUUCCAGACACUUGUAAGCCAAAUGGAGCCUGUAGCAAUGCCUGUGGAAAUGAUCACUAGUGAGACCAUGGGAAAAUGUACAACGCCUGUCCUUGAUGACCACGAUGACAAGUAUGGAGUCCCAUCGUUGGAAGAAUUGGGCUUUGAUACAGAAGGUCUUCCUUCAGCUGUGUGGCCAGGUGGGGAAACAGAAGCUCUUGCAAGAUUGGAAAGACACUUGGAGAGAAAAGCUUGGGUGGCAAAUUUUGAAAGACCAAGAAUGAACUCCAAAUCACUUCUUGCAAGCCCCACGGGGCUCAGCCCAUACCUGCGGUUUGGCUGCUUAUCGUGUCGUCUCUUUUACUUUAAGCUCACUGGCUUGUAUAAAAAGGUGAAGAAAAUCAGCUCCCCUCCUUUGUCACUCUAUGGGCAACUGUUCUGGCGUGAAUUCUUCUAUGCAGCAGGUACAAAUAAUCCCAGGUUCGAUAAAAUGGAGGGAAAUCCCCUCUGUGUUCAGAUUCCAUGGGACAGGAAUCCUCAGGCUUUGGCUAAGUGGACAGAAGGGAAGACUGGAUUUCCUUGGAUUGAUGCAAUAAUGAUGCAGCUCCGUCAAGAAGGAUGGAUUCAUCACCUAGCCCGACAUGCAGUGGCCUGCUUCUUGACCAGAGGCGAUCUUUGGAUUAGCUGGGAAGAAGGAAUGAAGGUGUUUGAAGAAUUAUUACUAGAUGCUGACUGGAGCGUAAAUGCUGGGAGUUGGAUGUGGCUGUCUUGUAGCUCAUUCUUCCAGCAGUUCUUUCAUUGCUACUGUCCUGUGGGUUUUGGACGUAGAACUGACCCCAAUGGAGAUUAUAUCAGACGAUACCUCCCAGUCCUCCAAGGUUUUCCUGUUAAGUAUAUCCAUGACCCAUGGAAUGCUCCAGAAAGUGUACAGAAGGCUGCUAAGUGCAUUAUUGGUGUUGACUAUCCGAAGCCCAUGGUGCACCACGCUGAAGCAAGUCGCCUGAACAUUGAACGAAUGAAGCAGAUCUAUCAACAACUCUCCCGUUACAGAGGGCUUGGUCUGCUUGCUUCAGUACCUUCUAACCCCAGCGGAAGCGGUGGAAUUGUGCCAUAUUCACCAGAGGAGAGCACACCUGGAAGCGGUAAAGUACCAGCCAAUUGUUGGGCGUUCCUUCAGACAAGUUGCUUUCCCCAAUGAAGUUCCACUUUCUGCUGUGAAGUUAAAUCUAAGCUUCAAACAUAAAAGUUUGGAAUGUUAAAACCCACUAGGAUUCACCUAUUGUGUGUCUUAACAUUCACUCCAAGGCCUGCUUCUUUCUUCAUGCAUUCUGACAGCCAUGUACUGACAUUAUUAAGAUCUACACCGAAGACCAUGCCUUUCACAUCCUUGUGAUCUCCCAAAGUGCUGUCCACCCACCUAAUUACCUUUAAGUGAUGUCGAUGUGACAACCAGUCAGUGGCCAGCCCGAUCUCCGUGCCUCAUUGCAAGCUGAAAACACAUGGAUCUGAUCCUUGCUGCCUCUGCUGGAGACACUUGGACUGUUCUUACAGUCAGGCAGAAACGCCCUGGAUGGCUGCAUAACCUCUGGAAAACGGCUCAAUCCGGGAGAAGAAAUGUUGGCAGUCGGGCUUAAAGUUCAGAGGCAGAGCAGUGACUAGAACAUCAGGGAACAAAAGGAUCCAUUCAGAAGAAUCCAGUCAAGAGGUUUCAGCACAUGUUGCAUAACCUGGAUAAUCUGAAAUCAGGGGAGAGAAAGAUUGGGAAAUACAUUUGUAAAUAUUUGCAUAUUUAGCAAUGUGUUGCUGCAGUGAUGUGGCAGAAAAUCCGUGGGCCAAACAUUGUGCUGUACUGUUCUAUGGAAGUGCUGUUAAUACUUCUGUAAAUGAUUUGAAUUUCUGUAAAUUUGAUACCACACUAAGUUAUAGAUGACUAUUUUUAAUAAUCAUGUACACAAAGUAUUUAAAUGUUUUAAUAUUAAGUUCUGUAACACAGAAAACACAAAUCCUGUGAGCAGUAAUAUCCUGCAGCAUUUGUAUUCGGGCACCUGUAGUUGUUCCUUCUGUUGCAUAUCGGUUAGGCUGCUCCUCCAGUACUGAUAAGACUCGUCUAGCUGGUAUCCAGUUAAUGGACUAAAAGGUGACAUUGCAAACCCUCACAUAUGCAUAAAAGGUUCUAAACCUUGCGUGAAAAAUAUCUGAUUGGGGCUGCUUAAACUAAUCUCCCUGAUUGACUCAAUGGAAAGGUUGAGUAAUCAGUCAAUUCAGGCUUUAAUUAGAAUCUGGCAGAGAUUGGGGCACUGCAGGUGUUCAAUGGACAUUGGAGAUAGAGGACAAAGGAGAGGAUGGUACAUUUUCUAAACAAUUCUACACAUUUCUGCUGAUUGAAUCUCAGGGAGACAAAAUGAGCUGAUGUUUCAGUUGAGGGGCUUCAUCAGAACAAACUCCAUCUCCUGUGUAGAAACAAAGAUUCUGAUGAAUGAUCACCACAUUGGGACAUUAGCUCUCCCUCACCAUGAAUGCUGCCUGACAUGCUGAAUAUUUAUGGUAGCUUCUGUUUUUACUUCAGAUUUUCAGCAUCUGCUGCUUUUGGAUUUCGAUCUUAUAAAGUGAUGCGUUAAACUCUUAACAUCAGGAUGUGGGUGUCACUGCCAGCCCAAUGUUUAUUGCCUAUGCACUGUUACCCUGGACAAGGUGAUGAUGAGCCACCUCCUUGAACUGGUGCAGUCCAUGUGCUCCCAAUGGCUAGAGAGAUCUGGCAUUUAAAUGGAAUGACAGUCAAGGAUAUCCUUCCUGGUCAGGAUGGUGCUGUAGUGAGGUUCUGUCAGAGCAGCCCAAGUGAGUAACUGCAGCCCUGGUGAACCAGUAAUGUGGAGCGAAUGGAGAAAUGUCCUCAGUCACACUGUACAAUGGAGAAAAUGUUCAUGUUUUAAGUAGAAUAAAAUAUUGUACUGAU